rnacentral:rRNA from 1 species
UCAGCAUACUGCCGUGAAUACGUUCCCGGGCCUUGUACACACCGCCCGUCACACCAUGAGAGUUGGAAAUACCCGAAGCCUGUGAGCUAACUUUUAGAGGCAGCAGUCGAAGGUAGAGCCAAUGAUUGGGGUGAAGUCGUAACAAGGUAUC